AUACGGAGGGUCCAAGCGUUACUCGGAAUCACUGGGCGUAAAGCGCGCGCAGGCGGCCAUUUAAGUUGGAUGUGAAAGCCUACGGCUCAACCGUAGAACUGCAUCCAAAACUAUUUGGCUAGAGUGUGGGAGAGGAAGAUGGAAUUAGUUGUGUAGGGGUAAAAUCCGUAGAGAUACCUAGGAAUACCAAAAGCGAAGGCAAUCUUCUGGAACAUUACUGACGCUGAGGCGCGAAAGCGUGGGGAGCAAACAGGAUUAGAAACCCUAGUAGUCC
rnacentral:rRNA from 1 species